rnacentral:rRNA from 1 species
AACGAACGCCGGCGGCAUGCCUAACACAUGCAAGUCGAACGGGCUGUAGCAAUACAGUCAGUGGCGAACGGGUGAAUAACGCGUGGGAACCUGCCUUGGAGUUCGGAAUAACCGCGGGAAACUGCGGCUAAUACCGGAUACGACCUAAGGGUGAAAGCAGAAAUGCGCUCCGAGAGGGGCCCGCGUCCGAUUAGCUAGUUGGUGGGGUAACGGCCUACCAAGGCGAUGAUCGGUAGCUGGUCUGAGAGGAUGAUCAGCCACACUGGAACUGAGACACGGUCCAGACUCCUACGGGAGGCAGCAGUGGGGAAUAUUGGUCAAUGGGCGCAAGCCUGAACCAGCGAUGCCGCGUGAGUGAUGAAGGCCUCGGUUGUAAAGCUCUGUGGGGAGGGGACGGAAAGAAUACGGUUCUUAACAGGACCGAAGUUGACGGUACCUCCUUAGCAAGCACCGGCUAACUCUGUGCCAGCAGCCGCGGUAAU